rnacentral:lncRNA from 1 species
GUUGAUUAUUGAUAUAGGAGAAGAUGACUGGUUUAGAGCACCUUCUUGUCUGUUCUUUUGUCCGAAGUUGACUCAUUUGGUGCUUGUUCGAUGUGAAUUAAACCCUCCUCCAAAUUUCAAAGGCUUCUUGUCUUUGAAGCACCUUAGCCUGCAGCAAGUUAUCAUUCCUCCACAUGAUAUUGAAGGUCUGAUCUCGAAAAGCACCUUAGCCUGCAGCAAGUUAUCAUUUCUCCACAUGAUAUUGAAGGUCUGAUCUCGAGUUGCCCUCUUCUUGAGAGCUUGACUUUGUCAUAUUUUGACAGUUUGGAGCUUACUAUUCGAGCUCCAAAUCUCAAAUAUUUG